UCCUCGGUAGCUCAGCGGUAGAGCAAGCGACUGUUAAUCGCUUGGUCGCAGGUUCGAUCCCUGCCCGGGGAGCCA
rnacentral:tRNA from 1 species